rnacentral:rRNA from 1 species
UACGUAUGGUGCAAGCGUUAUCCGGAUUUACUGGGCGUAAAGGGAGCGCAGGCGGCGCGCCAAGUCUGAUGUGAAACCCCGGGGCUCAACCCCGGGCAUGCAUUGGAAACUGGCGGGCAGGAGUGCCGGAGAGGUAAGCGGAAUUCCUAGUGUAGCGGUGAAAUGCGUAGAUAUUAGGAGGAACACCAGUGGCGAAGGCGGCUUACUGGACGGCAACUGACGCUGAGGCUCGAAAGCGUGGGGAGCAAACAGG